CCUACGGGGGGCAGCAGUGAGGAAUAUUGGUCAAUGGGCGCAAGCCUGAACCAGCCAAGUCGCGUGAGGGAUGACGGUCCUAUGGAUUGUAAACCUCUUUUGUCGGGGAGCAAGGCCCGCCACGUGUGGCGGGAAGGAGAGUACCCGAAGAAAAAGCAUCGGCUAACUCCGUGCCAGCAGCCGCGGUAAUACGGAGGAUGCGAGCGUUAUCCGGAUUUAUUGGGUUUAAAGGGUGCGUAGGCGGAAGGUUAAGUCAGCGGUCAAAUGUCGGUGCUCAACACCGGCCUGCCGUUGAAACUGGUCGUCUUGAGUGAGCGAGAAGUAUGCGGAAUGCGUGGUGUAGCGGUGAAAUGCAUAGAGAUCACGCAGAACUCCGAUUGCGAAGGCAGCAUACCGGCGCUCAACUGACGCUGAGGCACGAAAGCGUGGGGAUCGAACAGGAUUAGAUACCCCUGUAGUC
rnacentral:rRNA from 1 species